rnacentral:tRNA from 1 species
CAGGGUGUAAGUCAGCGGCGAGACGGCCUGCCUUGGAAGCAGGAGGACGCUGGUUCAAAUCCAGCCACCCUGACCA